rfam:Haemonchus contortus, ISE/inbred ISE, WGS project CAVP01000000 data, contig: Hcontortus_17907
CAAUCGGCUCUUAUAAGAGCCACGAUUUGUUAUAGUAAGUGAAGGU